UACGUAGGGUGCGAGCGUUGUCCGGAAUUAUUGGGCGUAAAGAGCUCGUAGGCGGUGUGUCGCGUCGGCCGUGAAAACCUGCAGCUUAACUGUGGGCGUGCGGUCGAUACGGGCAUCACUGGAGUUUGGCAGGGGGAGACUGGAAUUCCUGGUGUAGCGGUGAAAUGCGCAGAUAUCAGGAGGAACACCGGUGGCGAAGGCGGGUCUCUGGGCCGAUACUGACGCUGAGGAGCGAAAGCGUGGGGAGCGAACAGG
rnacentral:rRNA from 1 species